GACGAACGCUGGCGGCGUGCUUAACACAUGCAAGUCGAACGAAGUGGCGAACGGGUGAGUAACGCGUAAUCAACCUGCCCUUCAGAGGGGGACACAAGUUGGAAACGACUGCUAAUCCCGCAUACUGAAGGAGGGGAUUGCGUCUGAUUAGCUAGUGGGAGGGGUAAUGGCCCACCAAGGCGAGGAUCAGUAGCCUGUCUGAGGGGAUGACCGGCCACAUUGGAACUGCGACACGGCCCAGUCGCCUACGGGGGGCAGCAGUGGGGAAUCUUCCGCAAUGAACGAAAUUCUGAGGGGGCAACGCCGCGUGCUUGAUGACGGCCUUCGGGUUGUAAAGCUCUUUAAGCCGGGACGCGUUACCGGAAUAGAAAGCCACGGCUAACUACGUGCCAGCCGCCGCGGUAAUAC
rnacentral:rRNA from 1 species